rnacentral:rRNA from 1 species
UACAGAGGGUGCGAGCGUUAAUCGGAAUUACUGGGCGUAAAGCGUGCGUAGACGGUUAUUUAAGUCGGGUGUGAAAGCCCCGGGCUCAACCUGGGAAUUGCAUUCGAGACUGAAUAGCUAGGGUGCGGUAGAGGGUAGUGGAAUUCCCGGUGUAGCAGUGAAAUGCGUAGAGAUCGGGAGGAACAUCUGUGGCGAAGGCGACUGCCUGGACCAGCACUGACACUGAGGCACGAAAGCGUGGGUAGCAAACAGG